UAGGAGGAAUCUGACACAAUGUUAAGC
rnacentral:piRNA from 1 species